rnacentral:rRNA from 1 species
CCUACGGGUGGCAGCAGUGAGGAAUAUUGCUCAAUGGACGAGACCCUGAUCCAGCCACGUCGCGUGAAGGAUGACUGCUCUAUGGGUUGUAAACUUCUUUUAUAAGGGAAUAAAACGAGGCACGUGUGCCUUUUUGCAUGUACAUUAUGAAUAAGGCUCGGCUAACUACGUGCCAGCAGCCGCGGUAAUCCGGAGGCUCCGAGCGUUAUCCGGAUUUAUUGGGUUAAAAGGGAGCGUAGAUGGGUUGUUAAGUCAGUUGUGAAAGGUUGCGGCUCAACCGUGAAAUUGCAAUUGAUACUGGCAGUCUUGAGUACAGGUGAGGUAGGCGGAAUUCGUGGUGUAGCGGUGAAAUGCGUAGAUAUCACGAAGAACCCCGAUUGCGAAGGCAGCUUACUAAACUGUAACUGACGUUGAGGCUCGAAAGUGUGGGGAUCAAACAGGAUUAGAUACCCGGGUAGUC